rnacentral:rRNA from 1 species
UACGGAGGAUGCAAGCGUUAUCCGGAUUUAUUGGGUUUAAAGGGUGCGUAGGCGGGACUGUAAGUCAGGGGUGAAAUACUGCAGCUUAACUGUAGCAUUGCCUUUGAAACUGUGGUUCUUGAGUACAGUUGAGGUAGGCGGAAUGUGGUGUGUAGCGGUGAAAUGCAUAGAUAUACCACAGAACGCCGAUUGCGAAGGCAGCUUACUAAGCUGUUACUGACGCUGAGGCACGAAAGCGUGGGGAUCAAACAGG